rnacentral:rRNA from 1 species
AGACCCGAAACCCGGUGAUCUAGCCAUGGGCAGGUUGAAGGUUGGGUAACACUAACUGGAGGACCGAACCGACUAAUGUUGAAAAAUUAGCGGAUGACCUGUGGCUGGGGGUGAAAGGCCAAUCAAACCGGGAGAUAGCUGGUUCUCCCCGAAAGCUAUUUAGGUAGCGCCUCGUGAAUUCAUCUCCGGGGGUAGAGCACUGUUUCGGCUAGGGGGCCAUCCCGGCUUACCAACCCGAUGCAAACUGCGAAUACCGGAGAAUGUUAUCACGGGAGACACACGGCGGGUGCUAACGUCCGUCGUGAAGAGGGAAACAACCCAGACCGCCAGCUAAGGUCCCAAAGUCAUGGUUAAGUGGGAAACGAUGUGGGAAGGCCCAGACAGCCAGGAUGUUGGCUUAGAAGCAGCCAUCAUUUAAAGAAAGCGUAAUAGCUCACUGGUCGAGUCGGCCUGCGCGGAAGAUGUAACGGGGCUAAACCAUGCACCGAAGCUGCGGCAGCGACGCUUAUGCGUUGUUGGGUAGGGGAGCGUUCUGUAAGCCUGUGAAGGUGGCCUGUGAGGGUUGCUGGAGGUAUCAGAAGUGCGAAUGCUGACAUAAGUA